rnacentral:rRNA from 1 species
UACGUAGGGACCAAGCGUUGUUCGGAUUUACUGGGCGUAAGGGCGCGUAGGCGGCUUAACAAGUCACUUGUGAAAUCUCCGGGCUUAACUCGGAACGGCCAAGUGAAACUGUCAAGCUAGAGUGCAGAAGGGGCAAUCGGAAUUCUUGGUGUAGCGGUGAAAUGCGUAGAUAUCAAGAGGAACACCUGAGGUGAAGACGGGUUGCUGGGCUGACACUGACGCUGAGGCGCGAAAGCCAGGGGAGCAAACGGG